UGCAUUCUCUACUGUAAGUCGCUCUGGAUAAGAGCGUCUGCUAAAUGACUCAAA
rfam:Salmo salar isolate Sally breed double haploid chromosome ssa01, whole genome shotgun sequence.